rnacentral:rRNA from 1 species
GACGAACGCUGGCGGCGUGCUUAACACAUGCGAGUCGAACGCUGAAGCUCAGCUUUUGUUGGGUGGAUGAGUGGCGAACGGGUGAGUAACACGUGAGUAACCUGCCUCCUUCUUUGGGAUAACGCCCGGAAACGGGUGCUAAUACUGGAUAUUCACUGGUCUUCGCAUGGGGGUUGGUGGAAAGGGUUUUUCUGGUGGGGGAUGGGCUCGCGGCCUAUCAGCUUGUUGGUGGGGUGAUGGCCUACCAAGGCUUUGACGGGUAGCCGGCCUGAGAGGGUGACCGGUCACAUUGGGACUGAGAUACGGCCCAGACUCCUACGGGAGGCAGCAGUGGGGAAUAUUGCACAAUGGGCGCAAGCCUGAUGCAGCGACGCCGCGUGAGGGAUGGAGGCCUUCGGGUUGUGAACCUCUUUCGCUCAUGGUCAAGCCGCAACAAUGGUUGUGGUGAGGGUAGCGGGUAAAGAAGCGCCGGCUAACUACGUG